rnacentral:rRNA from 1 species
UAAACGAUGAGUGCUAAGUGUUAGAGGGUUUCCGCCCUUUAGUGCUGAAGUUAACGCAUUAAGCACUCCGCCUGGGGAGUACGGCCGCAAGGGCUGAAACUCAAAGGAAUUGACGGGGGCCCGCACAAGCGGUGGAGCAUGUGGUUUAAUUCGAAGCAACGCGAAGAACCUUACCAGGUCUUGACAUCCUCUGAAAACCCUAGAGAUAGGGCUUCUCCUUCGGGAGCAGAGUGACAGGUGGUGCAUGGUUGUCGUCAGCUCGUGUCGUGAGAUGUUGGGUUAAGUCCCGCAACGAGCGCAACCCUUGAUCUUAGUUGCCAUCAUUAAGUUGGGCACUCUAAGGUGACUGCCGGUGACAACCGGAGGAAGGUGGGGAUGACGUCAAAUCAUCAUGCCCCUUAUGACCUGGGCUACACACGUGCUACAAUGGACGGUACAAAGAGCUGCAAGACCGCGAGGUGGAGCUAAUCUCAUAAAACCGUUCUCAGUUCGGAUUGUAGGCUGCAACUCGCCUACAUGAAGCUGGAAUCGCUAGUAAUCGCGGAUCAGCAUGCCGCGGUGAAUACGUUCCGGCCUGUACACACCGCCCGUCACACCACGA